rnacentral:snoRNA from 1 species
AAGGCUGUGCUUUCAGAGAUCAUUUCUGUAGUUCUGUUCUAGAGAAGUUCUCUGAAUGAAUAGAGCACAAAAACCACAAGGAAGACACAAAAUGUUCUCUGGCUCCUUAUGUGGUUUCUCUGCAACUGUCAUUUGCCUCAAUUACUGUUUUUUGCAUCCUUUGAGGGAGUGAGAAAGGACAUGACUGAGUGAA